rnacentral:rRNA from 1 species
ACGCGAAGAACCUUUACCAGGGUUUUGACAUGCAAGUGUAGGAAUCCGAAAGGUGACCGACCCUUCGGGAGCUUGCACAGGUUGCUGCAUGGCUGUGUCCAGCUCGUGUCGUGAGAUGUCGUUAAGUCCGCUAACGAGCGCAACCCUCGUCGUGUGUUAUACGUGUCACACGAUACUGCCGGUAUCAAGCCGGAGGAAGGUGGGGAUGAUGUCAAGUCAGCAUGGCCUUUAUAUCCUGGGCUACACACACGCUACAAUGGCAGAUACAAUAGGUUGCGAAGCCGCGAGGCGGAGCCAAUCCAGCAAAACUUCCCUCAGUUCAGAUUGCAGGCUGCAACUCGCCUGCAUGAAGUUGGAGUUGCUAGUAAACGCAGGUCAGCCAUACUGCGUUGAAUACGUUCCCGGGGCUU